rnacentral:rRNA from 1 species
AUUGAACGCUGGCGGCAGGCCUAACACAUGCAAGUCGAGCGAGCGGCAGACGGGUGCGUAAUGUAUGGGGAUCUGCACGAUAGAGGGGGAUAACUACUGGAAACGGUGGCUAAUACCGCAUACUAUCGGAUGAACCCAUAUGGGAUUAGCUAGUAGGUGGGGUAAAGGCUCACCUAGGCGACGAUCUCUAGCUGGGCUGAGAGGAUGAACAGCCACACGGGGACUGAGACAGGGCCCAGACUCCUACGGGAGGCAGCAGAGGGGAAUAUUGCACAUGGGGCGCAAGCCUGAUGCAGCCAGGCGGCGUGUAUGAAGAAGGCCUUGGGGUUUUAAGGUACUUUCAGCGGGGAGGCGUUACCCGCAGAGGAAGCGCCGGCUAACUCCGUGCCAGCAGCGGCGGUAAUUC